rnacentral:lncRNA from 1 species
GCCUCUGAGGGGACCCGGCGGUGGCGGCCACGGCGGGACGGGCCGCCCACCAGUUGAACUCCGACAGCUGAGGCGGCUGAGGAGAUUAGACUCCAGAGAUAAUGAUAUUAGGAAAUCCAAACUGAAAUGGACCCCAGAGCAAUUGAAGAAAGAAAGAGUCAAGACAAAAAAAGUUGCUGAUUCCUGUCUAGAGGAAACAGUAAGGAAGAGAAAAGAGAAAUUCUCAUUAUAGCCAUGGCAAAGGAAGGGACAUUUUUAUGGACUACAUCUCUGCCUGGAUGGCUGUCUCUAACUGGAUUUUGCCAAUAUAUGCUGAGGGGAGAUAUGAAAUUAUCCAGGAAUGGCAAUUUGACCACAAAAUACAUGAACAGAUGGUUCUUGCCUUUGAAUGGGAAAAGAUGCUGCCUAGUCCAUCUUGUAUUGGAAAAUGUUGUGACUCAUAGUGCAAAUUUUACACUUUUGGAUGCAUUUGGAUUUCUUGGAUGUUGUAAGCACUUCUCCUUCCUGCCACCACGUGAAGAAGGACAUGUUUGCUUCCUCUUCCACCAUGAUUGUAAGUUUCCUGAGGCCACCCAGUCCUGCAGAACUGAGAUUUUUACACCUAUCUGUGAUGCUAUCUUGUGACCAUGAGGAGUGCUAAGCUGAAUCACAAAUCCACCAUGCUGAGGACAGCACAACAAAGACUUGGGGACUUAAUGGUUUCAACCAGUCACUGGGUUAACAAACCCUGGAACAAUCCCACCUCAAAACUUCAGUUACCUGUCCUGCUGACGUCAGACCCAGCACCAGGUGCAGAAGCAACCAUCAUACAAAAAUCAAGCUUCCUUAAUUAUGUCUACUGCAGUUUGCUGGGGGUCCACUCCAAACCCUGUUUGCCUGGGUAUCACCAGUGAAGGCUGCAGAACAGUGAAGAUUGCUUCCUGCUCCUUCCUCCAGAAGCUUUUUCACAGAGGGGCAUCAACCUGAUGCCAGCCAGAACUCUCCUGUAUAAGGUGCCUGGUGACCCCUGUUGGGAGGUCUCACCCAGUCAGCAGGCCUGGGAUCAGGGACCUGCUUAAGGAAGCAGGCUGGCUAUCCCUUAGCAUAGCUGGUACACUGUGCUGGGUGAAUCCCCCUUGUCUGGAUCACCCAAAUUCUUCAGAGCCAGCAGGCAGGAAAGAUUAAGUCCACUGAACCUGAGACUGCAGGCACCCCUCCCCACAGGGCUCUGUCGUAGGGAGAUGAGAGUUCUGUCUAUAAGCCCCUCACUGGAGUGCUGGAAUUCCUGCAGGGAGGCCCUGCCCAGUGACGAGGAAUGGAUCCAAGUCCCACCUAAAUAAUCAGUCUGGCUACGAUCUGCCACAGCCACUGUGCUGCACUGUGGGGAGUACCACCCAGUCCAAACUGCCCAGCCUUCCUAGCACUGGCAGGCGAAAACUGCUGAUUAGAGCCACAGUGAUGGCGGUUGCCCCUCCCCCCAGGAACUCCGUCAUCUUAGGCCAACUCCAGGCUGCUGUGACUGGCCAGCAGGGAUUCCAAGCCAGUGGGUCUUAGUUUGCAGGGUUCCAUGGGAGUGGGACCCACUGAGCAAGGUUGUUUGGCUCCCUGGUUUCAGCCCCCUUUCAAAAGGAGUGGAAGGUUCUCCUACCUCACAAGAGUUCCGAGAGCAACCGGAGUAUGUAACAACUCCUGCUGCUCAGUGCUUCCCUGAACGGCUGCUGACUGGAGCGGCCGCCAUGGGUCUGCCCAGUUUUGUGCUUGAGACCCAAGGCACUGGUGGUGUAGGCUUACGAGGGAAUCUCCUGAUGCAUGGAUUGCAAAAAUCCGUAGGAAAAGCCUACUACCCCAGACGGGUAGCACAUUCCCUCACUGCCUUCCUUGGCUGGGGGAGGGAGUUUCCUCCCAGGUGAACUGUUAUUCCACCUGCUGCUUUUCCUUGCUCUUUGUGGGUCACACGAACCGCCUAGUCAGUCCCAAUGAGAUGAACUGGGUACCUCAGUUGGAAAUGCAGAAAUCACUCGCCUUUUGCAUUCGUCUCAAUGGGAGCUGCAGAACAGAGCUGUUUCUACUCAGCCAUCUUGGCCCCUCCCCCCAAAAGAAAAUUUUGAAAGAAGCCAGGGAAAAAACAUACAGUAUAUACAGAUGAACAAAGAAAAGGAUUAUACGGCCGGGCACAGUGGCUCAC